AAUGAGACUACAGAACAUCAGACGGAAGCUUCAACACGUGAGAGGACAUCAUCAAUAAAGAAUGUCAUUGACCAAACCUUCAGUCAUCAAAGGAGAUGGAUACAGGUGGACAUCGAGUUUUCCAGACUUACCGAUAGGAAAGAAGACAUGUUUAUCAGGAAAUGGGAGGUGACAAUUAUUGAGAAACUCAGGGAAAUAGCAUCUUUAGAGAAGAAAAUGGACAUCAGACAUUCAUUGACGAAAGCUGACAGUCAACAUAAUGAUGAGCUGUGUUAUACUCGUUCAUCUUCUGCUGUGUGAAUUCUGCUGUCUCAGACCUGUGGGACUUGGUGGCGGCUGGUACCAGCGUGACCUCUGCUUACUAAAUGAUGAAAAGGUGUCUAAAAUCAGCUCAGCCACAGUUGGUUUCCAG